UACGAAGGUCCCAAGCGUUAUCCGGAUUUAUUGGGUUUAAAGGGUGCGUAGGCGGACUAUUAAGUCAGUGGUGAAAGCCCCAAGCCUAACUUGGGAACUGCCAUUGAUACUGAUGGUCUUGAGUACAUUUGAGGUGGGCGGAAUGUGUCAUGUAGCGGUGAAAUGCUUAGAUAUGACACAGAACACCGAUUGCGAAGGCAGCUCACUAAACUGUAAACUGACGCUGAGGCACGAAAGCGUGGGGAGCAAACAGG
rnacentral:rRNA from 1 species